ACACACACACACGGACACACACACACACACACACACACACACACACGUUCUUCUCUCAUACAAUACAACUCAACUCUCUCCAUUUGAUCUCCAUCCACUCCUCUCAGCUUCCCCCACUACCCCUCUCCCCAAGAUCCACAUCCCUUCCAUUUCCUUUCAGAAAAUAAUAGGCCUCCAAGAGACCUAAAUACAAGAGAGCUAAAUACAACAAAACAAGAUACAAUAAGACGAGGCAAAAGCCUUCAUAUCAAAGCUGGACAAGGCACUGUGUAGGCAGCACCCAAAGAUAGAUCCAGCCUUAGCACCUUGAAAUUUUAUUACGUAGGAUUCUCUUCCUAAAAAUUUAAUAAAGAAUAAUGGAUACAAUAUUAAAUAUUUCAGUGAGUACUUAUUUAGAUUAAGAAAACAAAUUUCAACACAUUACAAAGGGCUAAACCUGACAACACAAAAUCAUAAAAUCAAGAAAAAUAAUGUGUUGUUAAUAUGCACACUUCUGCAGUAUUUUUCUUUUUCUACAAGUUUUUAUUUCAUAUUGUUAUGAUUUUCUCUUUAUCAGAGAGUAAUAUUCUAAUAUUACUUUGGUAGGGAAGCUAAAAGUAUAAUUCAUUCCCCUGGCAUCAUUGAUCAAUGUUUAUUUUUCAUUAUUGCAGCUGGAGUGCAUGGCAAAUGCAAUUUCAACAUAUGAUAUUAUUGUUUGUAGUACUGCGGGAUUGUGCUCACAAAUGCAAGCAUACUGGUGCUUCUGGAUGCUUGAUUCCCAUCACAAAAGCCAAAAGCAUUAUCGUGUAUUUAUAAUCUUCUAUUCUGUGCUAUUGACAGCAAAGAAGAUGUUAUGAAGUGGAUGACAGCACGCAGGGCCUAUUGAGGCUGAAAACCACUGGUCUGGGUUUUGAUGAAGGGAAAUGCAUCCAGGAAGGAGAAACAGGACGCUGAACAUAGUCUUUUUGCGGGUCCACCAAGAGUCUUAAUGCCCACAGAAAAUAGAGGUUCAAGAAGACACUCAAGCAAGGAUCUGGCCCUCGACUAAAACUCAAGCCUACAGAGGGGAAUCCCACAUCACCAACCCAUGCAAGUAGUAGAGAUGCCUGUACUGUGAAGAUCUGUGAAACGAGAUGAUGCUAAGUACCCUCAAAUGUCUGGGUAUUGAAGACUUGAUCCUUGGAGUGGAACUGUUAGGAAGUACUACAGACUUUCAGGAGGGGGUGGUCCUGGAAUUCAUUAAUUUCCUACAUACAUGAAGGAAUGAACAACUGCAUGCUGCAAUCAAUAGUAAAAUGUCGGAGACGUAACACAUACGUUAACUAUAUCCAAAGGUACCUUAAAGACCAAGAAUAACAAGCUGGAAUAGCUGAAAAGGAAAGUGAGCAUGACAGGCUGUUGAAGAUCCCACAGUAUCAUUCCCAGGAAAUGAACCUUACAAAAUCUCUGUUAAUAGAAAAAUCCUGGUCUGGGAGAGAAGCUUGUAGAAGGAAAAUACAUGAAAAUGUCAGGCUAAGGACUCUUGUGAGACAGGCUGGCUGGUGCCGGCGAACCCAAUGAGGACUAUGGGAGCUGUAACAUGGGUGUGAUGGACUUCUUAGGAGAAAAUAAACCUGGCAAAGGAAAUAAAUAACCCACAACUCAGACAAGAGAGCUAUGAACCAGGAAAACGGCUGUGACCAUGAAAGAAGACGGUUGCUUUAGGGAGCAAAUCGAGAAAAGGGAGACCGGAAUGAGGAAAAUGCUAAGAAGCUACCAGAAGGCAGAAGGGAAAGCUAAAUAAUGAAUGUGGCCUCUCAGUCCGUUGGCUAGAGCUACCAGGACAAAGAAUGCAGAUGAGGGAGCUUAGCUAGAAAUUCAUUUCUUCCCAGCCCUGGAGGUUGGAAGUCUGAGAUCUUGUCAACAGAGUUUUAGGGUUCUGUCCUUGACCUCUAGACGGUCAUUUUCUGGGUCCUCUCAUGGUCUGCCCUCUGCAUGUGUGUGCUCCCUUGGCUCCUUACGUGGAGUUACAGUGCAAUAGUGUCCACUCGUAUGACUUCAUUGACCUUCAUUAUUUCUUAAAAUGUCCUGUGUUAAAGUCAUAUACUAAUGCAAAUGAGGGUGAUACAUAAAAUGUAAAUUUGGGGCAUAGAGACCAAUUUAGCCUAUGGAAACCUCCUUAUGGUUCCAGAUCUUCUUCCAGAAUAUUCCAUCUGUCUCUUCCCACUAUACUUUUAAUGAUACUCUUCUAAUCUGACAGGACUCAAUUUAGAUCAAAUUUCCAUAGGGAUGUCUUUCCUAACCUACAUAACCUCAAUCAAAAUUGGAUUCUCUGUUUUAGUUUCUCAUAUUACUCGUUAGUAUUCAGGCAUCUGUCCUGGCCUGACCUUGGGGUAUACGUCCUCAGCUGUAGCCACUAAGAGCACCUCCUGUGCAUUCAUUAUGCUCCCAUUUAAAAGGACCCUGCCCACCUCUCAUCUCUCUCUCUUCCUCUCUGUCUCUCUCUGUCUGUCUGUCUGUCUGUCUGUCUGUCUGACUGGUGCGCUCUCUCUCUCUCUCUCUCUCUCUCUCUCUUCUCUUCUCUUCUCUUCUCUUCUCUUCUCUUCUCUUCCGCAGUUCCUGUACCCAGAGGCUGUUCUCCCUGCUCUCUUCCCUCCUUUUACGUUCCCUUUCUCCUAAUAAAAACCCCUCCACAUGAACUCUACCUCAUGGUGUCUUUCUCUCUCACACUGCUUUUCUAAAUUAUAACACCCAUUGUUUCCAAAGAAUUUUAUCUCUUUUCAAAGUAUCAUAUUUUUUGUUGAUUUUUCUGUGUGUGCACAUGUGUUAGUAUGGUGUGUAUGUGAAUGUCCAUAAGUUUAU